rnacentral:lncRNA from 10 species
UUUCUGUCUGCUCACCACCCUUGCAUUUGCAAUAAACCUGACAAAAACUUCCAGAGCGAAAAUAAGAAUGUUCAUAUUUGAAGGAGAUGUUGGCAGACGGCCACAGACUUCAAGUACGCAAGCUCAUUCCGCUCUUGCUUUUCUGCCAAUAACUCCUUGGCCUCCGCGCACUCUGCACAGGCGGGGCCUGAGGACGGAUCAUGAUCGUGUCCGAUGAUCACGGACCCGCCGGAGACUCUCAAUGGAGAGGCGAUGAGUCACAGCCAAGCGAACUUUCUCUGCUCCUGAACAAAUUGCUUCUCCUCGUCGUCCCACUCCAAACCUAGAGGUGGGACAACCCCAGCAUCCUGGGCGUGAACGCACCCAGCUUGAUUGUCACAUGGGGAAUAGAGACCUCGCGCCUGCCUGGCAUAGGCCAACCCAGUAAUGUUCAUUUAAAGCUGGCUUUACUAGUCCUUCUUCCACAAUGAGAGGUGACCCUUCACUUCACCGAGAAAGGAAGGAAGAAAGCAUAAUAUUUCAUCGCGUGAAGAGGCCAUGAUUUCUCCGUUCCGCUGAGGAUCGAUUGAGCUGUUUCCAGUUUGGGGCGCGAUGAACAAUGCCGCAGUGAGGAUUCUUGUCAGUGCUGGCGUAUCUCAUGAUAGGCUGGAGUGCAAUGGUGUGAUCUCUGCUCCUGCAACCUGCGCCUCCUGAGUUCAAGCGAUUCUCCUGCCUCAGCCUCCCAAGUUGCUGGGAUUACAGGGGCCCGCCACCACGCCCAGCUAAUUUUUGUUAUUUUCAGUAGAGAUGGGGUUUCAUCAUGUUGGCCAGGCUAGUCUUGAACUCCUGACCUCAGGCGAUCCGCCCGCCUCGGCCUCCCAAAGUGCUGGGAUUACAGGUGUGAGCCACUGCACCUGCCCAAGGACUAAGGUUUUCUAUUUCUUAUUGUGUCAGUUAGGUUGUAUUUUUCUGUGAAUCUGUUCAUUUCACCAAAUUUUCAAGUUUGUUGGCUUAAAGUUUUCGAUAAUAUACUCUUAUUUUGUGGUGAAGUCCCUUUUUUAUUUCUUGUAUUUGUUAUUUGUGCCUUCUUUUCUUUUUUUUUUUUCCUUUUCUUUUUUAUGAGAUAGAGUUUCACUCUUGUCGCCCAAGCUGGAGUGCAAUGGCGCGAUCUCAGCUCACUGAAACCUCUGCCUCCCGGGUUCAAGCGAUUCUCCUGCCUCAGCCUCCUGAGUGGCUGGGAUUAUAGGCACCCAUCACCACGCCCAGCUAAUUUUUUGUAUUUUUAGUAGAAAUGGGGUUUCACCAUGUUAGCCAGGCUGGUGCCAAACUCCUGAUUUCAGGUGAUCCGCCCGCCUCAGCCUCCCAAAGUGCUGGGAUUACAGGCGUGAGCCACCACGCCCAGCCUUUUCCUUUUCUAU